CAGCCAGACUCCUACGGGAGGCAGCAGUGGGGAAUAUUGGACAAUGGGGGGAACCCUGAUCCAGCGACGCCGCGUGAGUGAAGAAGUAUCUCGGUAUGUAAAGCUCUAUCAGCAGGGAAGAAAGAAAUGACGGUACCUGACUAAGAAGCCCCGGCUAACUACGUGCCAGCAGCCGCGGUAAUACGUAGGGGGCAAGCGUUAUCCGGAUUUACUGGGUGUAAAGGGAGCGUAGACGGCUGAGCAAGUCUGAAGUGAAAGGCGGGGGCCCAACCCCCGGACUGCUUUGGAAACUGUAUAGCUAGAGUGCAGGAGAGGUAAGUGGAAUUCCUAGUGUAGCGGUGAAAUGCGUAGAUAUUAGGAGGAACACCAGUGGCGAAGGCGGCUUACUGGACGGUACCUGACGCUGAGGCGCGAAAGCGUGGGUAGCGAACGGGAUUAGAUACCCUGGUAGCC
rnacentral:rRNA from 1 species